UUUCCUAAAAACUUGAACACACACGCACACGGUGUCUCCUUCUUUCUGUCUUUCUCUGCAGAAUGAAAAGCACUCCCUGCAGUAGGACUGCUGUAACUCAUCACUCACUGUAACACAGACAGCAGAAGACCCGGUGAAACUGUCACCAACUCAACCAAGGAUUUCUGCAUUUUAUGAUGAACAGAAGGAGAAGCAGCUCCUCGGAUACACAAAUUUCCAAAGCAUUUUUUUCCACUUUAAAGCUUUGUCGUCGCUACCUUUUUCAAAAGAGUUUUAAAAGUGGGAACUACAGUUUUGAUGUAGCUUCCCAACACCAAUAGCAGUCUUAUGAAGUUAUCUUACAGUGAGUGAGUAACUCGUAUGAUUUCAGAUGUCUGGCAGUCUUCGUUCUUCACUCUGCUGAGUCACUCUAAAAUAAUCUGAGCAUCAAUGAGCGGUCUGAAUCUGAAGGGAACAAAAGAUCUCAAAGGUUUCAAUUAGCCAUAACUCUUUGAUCUCGCUUCAUUCAUUAUUCUUCAUGAAUACCGUCAUUUUCAUGUCUCUAAAACUCCUAUCAUAACACGGCACGAGGAGAUAGA